GCCGAAGUAGUUCAGUUGGGAGAGCAUUAGACUAAAAAUCUAACGGUACCUGGUUCAAUGCCAGGUUUCGGCA